rnacentral:rRNA from 1 species
AUGGUGUUCCUGAGGUGCCGGCGUAUCCAUGACGGGAUCCUGGCCCUUCACGAGAUUGUUCACGAGGUGGCGUCGCGGGGCCGUAAGGGCGUCUUUCUCAAGUUGGAAGUCGAGAAGGCCUACGACCGUCUGCAUUGGUCCUUCUUGCGGUUAGUGCUCCAGCGUCGGGGCUUUGAUGCGAGAUGGUCUUAUAGGGGAGUGAAGCAAGGGGGGCAUAUUUCCCCUCUUCUCUUCAACCUCGUCGCCGAUGCCUGGGCUGGCAUCCUGGCUAAAGCUAGGAUGGCCGGGCACCUUUUGGGGUAG